GUUUAUUUUUCGGUGAGUCUUUUUCUUCAUAUAUCGAUGAAACGACGAGGCCUAACUACGUGUGAGAAACACUGGAACAAAUCUUUUUAUCUAUUCUCCGUUUUGAUGCGCGUCGAUUGCCGUCGCUAAUUAUAGCAUGUAGCCCCCUAUUGUGUUCAGUGGAUGAGUUCGAUGUAAUGUCAUUAUCCAUCCAGUCGUUCGUCCUUCGUCGUCUUUUCUUUGUUACUCCGUUAGAUAUUAGGUGACCUAAAAUUUGUGAUUGGUCCAUCAAUAACUAAAACGAGUAGCAGCGUAGGCCACCGCGAUUUUUUAUUAAAAUUUUAAUUUGUAAAUGACAUUCCAGAGUUCUUCAAACUGCACUGUAGCAAUCUCAAGUUGAUCGCAUUAUACCAAACAUGUUCCCUUCCAAUGUCCCACUUCAGCAACUGCGCUCCCGAUUGAGCCGUAUUGCCGGAGUAAGAUCGAUCAUGGAGCUGCAAGUUUGGUGUUUCGAACUAACCCAGAUGCACGUAACAUUUCUGGUUGAUGCAUCUGCUAGAACGGAGGAUAUUUUAAUGGCUACCAAUGCUAUUGCCCAGGACGAAUACGACAUUAAGAAGUGUAAUAUAAAAAUACAUAAAAUACAAGAAGUAGAAGAAGAAGAAGAAAAAGAAGAAGAAGCAGCAGCAAGCUCCUCAAGCCAAGUGUAGUGGCUGGAACGGAGGUUAGGUUAAACGGACGGAGGUUAGGUUAAACAAUACGACAUAAGGAAGUGUCAAAAUACAGGAAAUAGAAGAAGUAGAAGAAGAAGUAAAUUCCUAACUGCACUUGACUGUGAUGUGGUUGUUUGUACCAUUAAAAUAAGUCAUAAGAAUGAAAAUUAGACGAAAAUGUACAUACGUAAAAAUCUGUCUAUUAGAUUACACAUUUUAAUGGAAACUUUGAUUUUAUAGGACAAUAAAAGAGCAUGAAACAAAUAACACAGUUUUGUU